UACAGAGGUCUCAAGCGUUGUUCGGAUUCAUUGGGCGUAAAGGGUGCGUAGGCGGCGCGGUAAGUCGGGUGUGAAAUCUCGGAGCUUAACUCCGAAACUGCAUUCGAUACUGCCGUGCUUGAGGACUGGAGAGGAGACUGGAAUUUACGGUGUAGCGGUGAAAUGCGUAGAUAUCGGGAGGAACACCAGUGGCGAAGGCGGGCACCUGGGCUAACACUGACGCUGAGGCGCGAAAGCUAGGGGAGCAAACAGG
rnacentral:rRNA from 1 species